CAGAUAAGCAAUGAAAAACAACAGUCCAUCAUUACUUUAAGACAUGAACGUCAAUCAAUGAGUAAAAUUUCAAUAACUUUUUCUUCAAGUGCAGUCACAAAAACCAUCAAGUGCUAUGAUGAAACUGGCUCUCAUGAGGACCGCCACAGGAAAGGAAGACCCAGAGUUGCCUUUGCUGCAGAGGAUAAGUUCAUUAGAGGACAAUGACCCAAAACACACCUCCAGGCGGUGGAAGGGCUAUUUGACCCAGAGGGAGAGUGAUGGAGUGCUGUAUCAGAUGACCUGGCCUCCACAAUAACCCAACCUCAACCCAAUUGUAAUGGUUUGGGAUGAGUUGGACCGCAGAGUGAAGGAAAAGCAGCCAAAAAGUGCUCAGCAUAUGUAUAGCAUUUCAGAUGAACCAGCAGAUGUCAGAGAUGAGUCUAAACGAGGCCGGGGGAGCCAUGGCCUCUAGGGCAGCCCGUCUCACCCACAUGGGGCUGGGCUGCCUGGCGCCUCCUCAGGCCAGACAAUGGGAGAUUCUUAAUUGGUUUACUUCGACUCCUCGCAUCCUCUCUGUCCUCUCCUCCUUUUAAAAAGGUCAAAGGUUAUUGAGGAGAGUAGGUGAGGAAACGUGGAAAUGAAUGCACUUGUGAAAAUGAAAUAAGUCUCUCCUUCUCCACUCGCAUCAGGCAGAUGACGUUUACAGAGGAGGGAUCCCGAUAAGCAACAAGGUGUUAUGGGUCUGCAUAAAGCUUACUUCAUUUUUUAAAUGAUUUGUCACUUCAUAAGGGAUAGCGUACACAGACAAUUCGGCUUUGCAGCCUUCUUCAGUGUGUCGGCAGCCUUCUUCAGUGUGUCGGCAGCCUUCUUCAGUGUGUCGGCAGCCUUCUUCAGUGUGUCGGCAGCCUUCUUCAUAGGAGGAAUCCCAAAAUAAAUGUGUAAAGUGGUUGUGCAAGAUGUAUAGAUUAAAAAGGAUAUGCUACUUAUAGUUUAACAUGUGCAUGCUUUUCUCCUCUGAGGAAACAACAGUUGAUUCAAAGGAGGUGUGGCGGAUUUCAAAACGCCGUUGUGAGCUGGUAGGAUACACGAGUAUCCUCAGCUGGAGGAGGCUAUCGAGGAGAUGAGCAAACUCCUCAGUUCGCCUAUUAAAACCUCUUAAACUGACAGUCCCCGAAAUUGGGCACUAGAAUUAAUUUAAAAAAUAUGUAUAUAAUUACAUUACUUAUUUUAUUGAUUUCCCACCGUUUUAGAAGUCAGA